GACCCUACUUUCCGAUGUUCUUUAACAAUUUGGAAGGCAAGGCGUUCAUUGGCUUGAUGAGAGCCGGUGGACGUUAGGGUUGAGAUGUAUCUUGGUCUGUCGCUGUUGAAAGGUCGGCGAUGGGCUGGCGCAAACACGCUCAUGAGGUGUUGCUUUGGGUGUUGGGGUUGGGGCUGGGGGUUUCUGACUUCUGUCCUCUGACGCUGAUAUCUGGAAGCGGCACGCUUAUGGGGUCAAGCGACGAAGUGCAUGUGGUGGAUGCCUUGGCGAUUACAGGCGAUGAAGGACGUGGCAGUCUGCGAAAAGCUGCGGGGAGCUGGCAAACGAGCGUUGAUCCGCAGAUGUCCGAAUGGGGAAACCCGG
rnacentral:misc_RNA from 1 species